rnacentral:rRNA from 1 species
UGAGCCAGUACAGGAGGGACCCGCGUCUGAUUAGCUAGUGGGUAAGGUAACGGCUUACCAAGGCGACGAGCAGUAGCCGAGCUGAGAGGGUGAUCGGCCACAUUGGAACUGGGAAACGGUCCAAACGCCUACGGGAGGCAGGAGUGGGGAAUAUUGCACAAUGGGCGAAGGCCGGAUGCAGCAACGCCGCGUGAGUGAUGAAGGCCUUCGGGUCGUAAAACUCUGUCCUCAAGGAAGAUAAUGACGGUACUUGAGGAGGAAGCCCCGGCUAACUACGUGCCAGCAGCCGCGGUAAUACGUAGGGGGCUAGCGUUAUCCGGAUUUACUGGGCGUAAAGGG